rnacentral:rRNA from 1 species
CCCAAGGGUAUGGCUGUUCGCCAUUUAAAGUGGUACGCGAGCUGGGUUUAGAACGUCGUGAGACAGUUCGGUCCCUAUCUGCCGUGGGCGCUGGAGAACUGAGGGGGGCUGCUCCUAGUACGAGAGGACCGGAGUGGACGCAUCACUGGUGUUCGGGUUGUCAUGCCAAUGGCACUGCCCGGUAGCUAAAUGCGGAAGAGAUAAGUGCUGAAAGCAUCUAAGCACGAAACUUGCCCCGAGAUGAGUUCUCCCUGACCCUUUAAGGGUCCUGAAGGAACGUUGAAGACGACGACGUUGAUAGGCCGGGUGUGUAAGCGCAGCGAUGCGUUGAGCUAACCGGUACUAAUGAACCGUGAGGCUUAACCUUACAACGCCGAAGCUGUU